GUGCCAGCCGCCGCGGUAAUACAGAGGUGGCAAGCGUUGUUCGGAAUUACUGGGCGUAAAGGGCGUGUAGGCGGCUUUUUAAGUCAGACGUGAAAUCCCCCGGCUUAACCUGGGAACUGCGUCUGAUACUGGGAAGCUAGAGUUCGGGAGAGGGAUGUAGAAUUCCAGGUGUAGCGGUGAAAUGCGUAGAUAUCUGGAGGAAUACCGGUGGCGAAGGCGGCAUCCUGGACCGAAACUGACGCUUAAGCGCGAAAGCUAGGGGAGCAAACGGGAUUAGAUACCCUCGUAGUCC
rnacentral:rRNA from 1 species